CUUGCAUUUCAUGGUUUAACCAGGAGAAAACCUCGUUGACUGCAAUCACCAAAAAUAAUCGAAAGAGACAAAUUUAUAAACGAUGUGGUUGGCCGCUGUGACGCUGGUAUUACCUUGCUUUUAAUUUCUUCUCGCGACCACCGUAUCCCUCCCCUGCAACUAAUUGGGACUGAUCUCGCCUGUCUAUCUUCUUCGUUUUAUCGUCGCCUCGAGUUUGAUAGGAUAUUGCAGCCAAUAUUUCAUCGGCUAGGGUUUUUUUAUACUGGAUUUAUCCUUCUUACUGUUUAUUCUGAAUAUUGUUCGAAAUUCAACCCCCUUGUUUUGUAAUGGCGUCGAGUUUGGAUCGAUGGGAAAAAGAUCCUUUCUUUACGGCGGCUGAAGAGGUUCAGGAAUCUGCAGACAGGAUGGAAUCUGCUUAUCGGAAAUGGACUCACGCCAAAAAAGAUGCUUCCGUUGGGUGGGACUCUGAGGAACUCCUCAGAGAUCUGCAAACUUCUCUCGGCACUGCAAAAUGGCAGUUAGAGGAAUUUGAACAGGCAGUUAGUACAAGUAAUGGCAAAAGUUCAAGCAAUGAAGCACAGAAUAGGCACCGUGACUUUAUUGCUGCUAUUCAGGAAAAAGUUAGAAAAGUAGAGCAGUCUUUGCAGGAAUCCAUUGUCUCAGAUGGCAAGGUACCUCUGCCUUGGGCGCAUCUGAAUGAAGGAGAGCGGAACGAGCUUGCCCUAUUUCUUUCAGGAAUGCCACCUGAUGAAAGCAAAACCCCUACAAAAUGUAAAGGUGGGGACAGUGAACGUAAACAAUCAAGUCAUAAAGAAUUGGAUUGUAUUUCAAAAAAUCUACUUUCAUCUGAAUGGAAUGCCUUGGAAACAAAGGAAGAUAGUUCACAUGGGCAUCGCAGGAUAGCUAGUGCUAGUGCUGAUAUUAGUUCUUGGAAGAUUGCAGUUUCUGAUGAUGUCCAACCACAUGGUUCUUCCAAUGGACCUUUUGGUCCUGUGCAUAAGGUUCCCAGUUUUUCAGGAUUUUUUAAUUCCAUGGAAUCUGUUUCUAAGAUUAAGUGGCCAAAGAAUGCAUUUAGAAAACUGAAAGCUACAGAAAAUAAUCAAGGAGCUGAUAGUACAUUGCUGCCAUCGUCAGAAUUGAACAGGGGCAUAAGUGCGUGCUAUGAAAGAAGUAAGAGCUACCUUGAUAGUUGCGAUAAAUGCUAUGACAAGCAACUAUAUGGUUGGUAUGGGGCUAUACAGAGGCAGCUUCAAAGGUCCCAUUACCUAAUGCAAUAUGGUCGACCUUUUCUAAUACUUUUCUGGACGGUUGUUUCCCUUAUCUUGAUUGGCAUUCUAUAAGAAUCAUGAGGAAUAAGUACAUGAAAUGUGGAACUUAGGCCCGCUUGGUAGCAUGGGAAAGGAGAUUUGGAGAGGGGAAAGAAAGGUAGAGCUUUGUUUGAUGUGUUGGUAUGCAAUAAUUAUGGUUCCCUCGAUGAUCCUGUUUGCAAUUUGGCAAAGGGGGUUCCUUCGUAUCUGCUAAGCAAAGGAACUGCUUUCCAGGGAAGGAUAUUACCCACUUCCAGGCUCCAACAUCCGCUCGGACAUGUUGAAGGGCUCCUAAAUUCUCACUUCAUCUGUUUGAUUAACUCUUUGCUGAAAACCUCCCUUGUAGUUUCUCUAGCUGUGGAAAUUGAAGGAGAAGGGAGAGCUUGAAGGAUAUUGAUCUACCAGUGUGGUGACUUAGAAAUCUGAUGUUUAUGCUUUCAGGGAGUUGAAGUUGGAACUCUUAUCAAGAGAGGAGCCACUUUUGACGACCUUGGUUGUGAGGUUGAAGUAUGGUUCCUAAACCUUCAAUGUGCCUGCUUCCUAGCACUUCCAGCUUGAAAAGAAUGGCAGUGCUGCUUUUUGAUUCUCUUUCCAUAAAGUAUUUGUAGUUGUAGAGACUUUCAUUGAUUCCACACUCUUUACACGAAGUAUAGGAAGGAACUUCAAUGCUGAAGGAAGAUUUGAAUUUUGAAGGAUAACUGCUAGUGAAUAAGUGCAGAGCCACUGAGUAUUGAAACCAUUAAUUUCCACCAGACCGGCCCUUAGUACUUCCUUUUGCUUCUUUUAAUGUUUUGCAUUGAAAUAUUUAAUUAUCAAUAAUUCUUAUUUGAUGUUUUACAGUGAAAUAUUUAAUUAUCAAUACUUCUUAUUUGAUGUUCUUUGAACUGCUUUAUUCAUACAACUUGGUCUGUGCUUGCUUGGUAACUGUUUGAAAUAAAGGCCACUAACAUGGAAGAAAGGCAGACAUACUAUCACUAUGUUUGAUUGUGGAAUCUAAACACUCAGCGCAAUUGCCUAUGGGUUUUAGUAGCAUUCCGAGCAGUUUAGAGGGAAGAUUUGGAUACAUUUUCAAUGUGUUUGUAAUUGGCGGCAGCAUGGAGGAUAGCGAACCUGUUGGUACUAGUCAAUAUAAUCUAUGGUGAGAGAGAGGUUCUCUGAUUCUCACGCGAACGGGGUCAAUAUUCAUCAAAAUUCCUUUGAAGUGCUUCGAGAUUAGUGUGCGGAAUUAUCACCCUACUAUUUCCUCCCAAUUUGGUUGGCUUUGCUUGUAUUUUUCCCUGUUUAAUUUCAAAGCUGUCCACGAAUAUAGUUCUUUUGUACUAUCGCAAGAUAGAGAUGACAAUUGGCAUACUGAUGUAAUUGUAAUGCUUCGGAACGAUUCCCACGAAGCUUUUAUUUA